ACCUCAAGUGAUCCACCUGCCUCCCAAAGUGCUGGGAUUACAGGCACAUGAACUUAUGAAUUUAAGACAUGAAGAUUUACAGCUUGAUAAACCAGCUUCAGGAGACAUGAACUUAUGAACUCAACACAUGAAGAUUUACAGCUUGACAAACGGCUGCUGUAAAAUAUUACAGGCAUACUUUGGAGAUAUUACGGGAUUGGUUCCACAUCACUGCAAUAAAACUCCAGCGGGAAGAAGAAGAGGCCUUUGCCAGCAGUCAGAGCAGCCAAGGGGCCCAAUCCCUCACAUUCUCCAAGUUUGAAGAAAAACCAACGAGAAGACCCGCAAGGUUACCACAGUGAAGAAAUCUUCAGUGCGUCUUCUAGGGUCGGAUCAAAGAAGGAGCCCUGCACUGGGUUACGCCUCAGAUGCUGUGUGUCCCUGUUAAUGAAGACAUCCCAGAAGUGUCUGAUACGCUGGUGAAGGCGAUCACAGGGAUUGUGCUGCAUUCUGACUUAGGUUCUGCUAUCAAAAACAGAAUGCCCUGAUCCUUAGAGGCAGAGGCAGCUCUUCAGCCUAUGGGCUGAAGCUCUUGGACUCACUGAGGCAGUAAAAGUACCAUAUCCUGUGUUUGAAUCAAACCCCGAGUUCCUGUGUGUAGAAGGUUUGCCAGACAGGAUUCC
rnacentral:sRNA from 1 species